rnacentral:lncRNA from 1 species
AGUCACGCUGGGACCACAGUGGGAGCUAAACCAUCGCUAAAACUGGCAGAGCAGAGAGACAGAAAAACCCAUGUUAGUGAUGACAUUGCUGAGCCACUGAAUUCACCAGCCCCCGAGGCUCCCAAACUUGGACGUUCAUGCAUUGGCGUCUGCCAUGGAGAGCUCACUAUAUGGAACUGGGACAAAUCUGAGAACUACUGGUUUACACCACACAAUCAGCAUCAGAAAUACCUGUGCAGGUCAGAAGUGCUGUAUCACCAAGGAGAAGAAUGUGAGCUCCCUCUUCUGUUUUCAUUUCGCUCUCUCCCUUCUUUUUCCUUUUAGACCAGUAUUGACCCCGGGGAUGCGGCUGGCCAGGUCUGCAGGGAAGCGCAGAGACUCCUAGC